UACGAAGGGGGCUAGCGUUGCUCGGAAUGACUGGGCGUAAAGGGCGCGUAGGCGGAUGGCACAGUCAGAUGUGAAAUUCCCGGGCUUAACCUGGGGGCUGCAUUUGAUACGUGUUGUCUUGAGUUCGGAAGAGGGUCGUGGAAUUCCCAGUGUAGAGGUGAAAUUUCGAUAGAUAUUGGGAAGAACACCGGUGGGCGAAGGCGGCGACCUGGUCCGACACUGACGCUGAGCGCGAAAGCGUGGGGAGCAAACAGG
rnacentral:rRNA from 1 species